rnacentral:rRNA from 1 species
AAGGCUCACCGAGGCUACGAUGGUAGCUGGUCUGAGAGAUGAUCAGCCACACUGGACUGAGACACGGUCCAGACUCCUACGGGAGGCAGCAGUGGNNNAUAUUGCACAAUGGGCGCAAGCCUGAUGCAGCAACGCCGCGUGGGUGAAGAGGCUCUUGGGUGUAAAGCCCUUUCGGCAGAGAAGAAGGGUGUUGUUCGAUAGGGCU